UACAGAGGGGGCGUAGCGUUGCUCGGAAUGACUGGGCGUAAAGGGCGCGUAGGCGGACAAUCCUUUGUCGGGCGUGAAAUUCCAGGGCUUAACCUUGGGGCUCGGUUCGAGACGGGGUGUCUUGAGUGGGGAAGAGGGUCGUGGAAUUCCCAGUGUAGAGGUGAAAUUCGUUAGGAUAUUGGGAAGGAAACACCGGUGGCGAAGGGCGGCCUGCUGGGCAGUAGCUGACGCUGAGGCGCGACAGCGUGGGGAGCAACAGGAUAGAUACCGUGUAG
rnacentral:rRNA from 1 species